rnacentral:lncRNA from 1 species
UGAUUUUGGCAGUGAAGCUGUAGCUAUGGCUCAUAAACUCUUUUAAUUAUUAGUAUGUUUUCCUACUGUCUGUUGACCUGAACAGCGCUUAGGGUUAUUAUGUGUGUUGGUGGAUCGUUCAUUGAUUUAACAAAGGGUAUGUCUGGAUCUGAGAAGAAGAGGAUUAUGUUUGCUAGAUUUGUCAAAACCUUGUUUCUGAGUAAACGAUCUUUUAGAUAAUAAUACUUCUCUUGGAAAAAUAAAACGUAGCAGUGUCUCACCGGUUAAGGAAGAACAAGAUCAGCUGUCCAGAACAAUUGCAUCAGUGAGUCACAGCAGUAACCUGUUUCUUCAUCAAGCCUGAGACGGCACAUUAAGGCUUGUGGAAGGACAAGGUGCACCCACGGUUGGUUCCAGCUGUUCACACCAUGAGCAUGAGCGUCACAGUCAAGGUAACCACAAAACUUAGUUUGGUAGCCAUUUUCUCUGAAGAUUGAUAUGCUUGAGAUUUGUUUGUGUUUGGUGAUAACCGUAGAGAGUUUAGUUUAUAUAGAGACACUUGGGGCCUUGACUGUUACAUGUAAAUGGUAGAAUGAAAAGGCUAAAGUAAUUACAUAGGAAACUCGUUAACUAGAGAACAUAGUGUCUGGAUUCAAGAGGGUUAACAACAUUACUAGGCUUGAACUUGAGGGACAAAGGCUGUGGUGAAGAGGCAAGAACAUGUUCAUCACCAUUAUUGUGGUCAGAGUCAUUGUCGUCAUCAGAGUAACCUUGGAGCACGUCACCUUCUUGAGGAGUGAAACCAAGAAGAGCACCAAUCAUAGUAGACCAGCACAUGAGAGAGUCCAACGGUUCUGCAACACCCAGGUCCAGUGUAAUAAGUCUCACCGGUUAAGGAAGAACAAGAUCAGCUCUCCAACAGUGUUGAAGCUGCAUCAGUGAGUCCCAGCAGUAACCUGUUUCUUCUUCAUCAGCGGUAGACAAGGCUUGUGGAAGGAGAAGGUGCGUGCACACCAACGGUUGGCUUCAUGAGUGGUCGAGAUGUCACUGUGGGUGAAACCACAAUGAGCAUGAGCAUCACAGUGAAGGUAACCAAGAGACUUGGUUUAGUAGCGCCAUUAGAGAGUUUAGGAAGUGAAUAUGGUUGAGAUUUGUUUUGUGUUUGUGAUGAGAAGUGAGUGAGUGAUAAAACUUAAGAGUGACACUUGGUGCAUUGACAGUUACAAGUAAAUGGUAGAGUGAAAGGGCUAAAAGUAAUUCAAUAAAACAUAAGCUAUGGAUUCAUGGGUUGCAACUGUACUAGGCUUAAAUUUGAGGGAGAGAGGCAGUGGUGAGGAGGCAAAAGCAUGUUCAUCAACAUUCCCACCAAUCAUAGAAUGCAAUGGUAGCCACAGGGAUAGAGUUAUAGAGUUUUGUCUUGAUACAACCCAACUUCUUCAACGUUAUUCUCUCUGAUAAGCCUAUAUGGUGUUAAGCCUGAUUAUCAAGGCAGUGUGUCUUCAUCAGCACUAAAACACACUCAUCAAACUGCGCAAGAGCUACUUCCUGCAAUUCUAUGUGAUUUGGGUUCAAAGCAGUCUCUGUCAGCAUCUCGUUGGCAUGAACCAACUCGUUUUGAUGUGGUUAGAACUGAUUCAGUUUCACAUAUUGAUGGAGUUCCACCACUUGAUGUUUUUUCUUUAGAAUAAAUUAUACUAUCCAUCAAACUGUAUAUCAGUGACAUGCUUUUGACCAAAUUGUGAUUCAAGUUUCAGUUUCCUCCAAAGUUUUGCUAGAUUCCUUUGCACCACAAGAUUCUGGUUUCUUGACAAUAUUGUCCAAUGGAGAACCAAUUUGAUCUGGUGCAAAGCGAAUCAAUAGUUUCUCUCUGCUUUGACAGUUUUUUUGUCAGGGAAUUUUUAAAGGCAAUGAUUUUUUGCUCAAAUUAUUUAUAUUCAUAUUUGUUGGAUUCAUUGGCUUUGAAUGUAACACAGGAAAGAUGCAGAAUAAAUGCAAAACAUUUUAAAUGCAGAUUGGACUGCAAUUUUUUUGCCAUUCAACACAUUUUUUGCAGAUCAAAAAUAAAUAAUUAAAAAAUAAAAAAUCUGCAUGCAGAUCUAAAUUGCACAUAAAUAUUUUGAUCUGCAACUAAGGAAGAAAAAGAGGCUGUACACUUACAGAUCAAUAAUAUAAAUUUAUUUAUAUUGGCUAUUAAUUAUUAAUAGAUAGUCUACUUUGCUAAUUCAUGUUAUUCACUUUGAAACUAAAUAACUAAAUCUUUUAAACAAAAUUUAAUAAUUUCGUUUUAUAAAUAAUUUAUUUUAAAAUGAUUUUAUUUUAUAGAAUUUAAAUAAUUUUAUAAAAAAAGACGAAGGAGAAGUCGGGCAACAAACACUUUUGCUAUGCGCACGGAUUACGCGAAGGCUUUGAGUACGUCAAAGUUAAUGGCAUCCUAAGGGAAGAAUCCCGUCCGUUUGAAGCCAACUGUAGAGAAGAAGUACUUACACGCCAUGGGUCUAACCUCGGCUACAUUGGAGAGGUAGUCUCCUUGACUACUGUCAAAGAAGUUCUUCAGACGCUUCAAAACCACCCUGUUGCUGGAUGCAUUCCCGUCUUUGAACCAGACUACAGCUCUAUUAAUGAUGUAAGUGUAUUAUUCAGUUGUGUCUUGUUCUUUUUCUUGUUCAUAACAAUUUAUGUUAAUUUGGCAGCAACUGUACUACGGCCCUACAUCUCCACUCUCACGUUACGAAACCAUGCAUGCGAUCAGCUUUGUUGGCGCUGGAGGAGUCAAGGAAGGUGAGAAGCAUGUGAAUGCUAGAUCCAGUCACGGUGUUAACUUCGGCAAAGACGGCUAUUUCAAAAUUUGCUUCCAGCACGUGAUAAUCUGCCUCACCCGUGGACACCACAUGAGGUAUCUUGAAGACCCGGUUCUUCUUCCUUGCAGAUUUGUAUACCCAGAGCUCCUAUCUCUAGAAAAGGACAAAGAGAAGAGAAGAGACGACACGAUAUAGAUCUCUUUCUUGGUAUGCCAGAGUUCUUAAAUCUCUUUGAAUUUUUACUUUGAAGAAUCUUAGUUUCACUCAGACUUAUCUUCUUUUCUUUGGACUUUCAGGAGGGUGAUUUUGGCAGUGAAGCUGUAGCUAUGGCUCAUAAACUCUUUUAAUUAUUAGUAUGUUUUCCUACUGUCUGUUGACCUGAACAGCGCUUAGGGUUAUUAUGUGUGUUGGUGGAUCGUUCAUUGAUUUAACAAAGGGUAUGUCUGGAUCUGAGAAGAAGAGGAUUAUGUUUGCUAGAUUUGUCAAAACCUUGUUUCUGAG